rnacentral:rRNA from 1 species
UACAUGGGGUGCAAACGUUGCUCGGAAUCAUUGGGCGUAAAGCGCGCGUAGGCGGUUACACAAGUUGGAUGUGAAAGCCCUCGGCUUAACUGAGGAAGUGCAUCCAAAACUGUGCAGCUAGAGUACUAAAGAGGGUCGCGGAAUUCCCGGUGUAGAGGUGAAAUUCGUAGAUAUCGGGAGGAACACCGGUGGCGAAGGCGGCGACCUGGGUAGAUACUGACGCUGAGGUGCGAAAGCGUGGGGAGCAAACAGG